GAAGAGAAGAGAAGAGAAGAGAAGAGAAGAGAAGAGAAGAGAAGAGAAGAGAAGAGAAGAGAAGAGAAGAGAGCAGGCUGGUGUGUAGCUCUGAUAGCAGGGUAAGGGAACAAGGAACAAGGACUUUCUUUGCAGUUAGGCUUUUGUUCCCAAAAUGAAUUUUUAAUGGAUCCUGUCCUGUUGGCAUGCAAAGGCAAAUAGACUGUAUGAGAUCCUCCUGCUCUUGUUGACAGCACCAUAUUCCUAAGUUUUAAAGCAGUGGUUUUGUUUGAGGAGUAGAUUUGAUCGGCUGUGUGUGCUAAACCACUUGGGAUUCUGCUCACCAGGAUCACAAAGUGAACUUUUGCUGACAAGAAGGAGAAAAAAAUAUCAGAGGAGGAGGACAGAAUAAUAAAAUAUAUUAGUAGUAUGUGGUUAUGGAAGAAUCUGCUGCAAAACCAGAAAAAUGCUGGAAGUUACAGUAGUCAGGGAGCAGCUGGAGAGAGCAACAGACAGCACAAGCAAUAGAACAUCUGGGAAAUGAUGGGAAAUGAAGCAUGAAGAGGAAGAAUUGAAAUCAAGUGAAAAUCAAAGAAGCCAAUGCCACUAAAGCUGUCAGUUUAGAGUAACUAAUUUGAAUUUUCCCUUCUCUUUGGCUGUUUUAAAAAUUAUUAUUAUUAAUCCUUAGAUGGAGUCCAGGCAUUCACCUUUACUUAUUUCUGUAAUCUGCCUUUGCUUUUCUGUUGGUUUUCCUGAACAAGACAUGUAUGGGGAUGAGGCAGAAGUGGGGGCUGGGAUGAACUGUUCUCACUUGCCUGUAAAAUAUCUCUUUUAAUGUCUUGCAGCCAAAAAAGAAGCUUGGUGUCAGGCAAACCAGACUAAGAAAAUACUAGAGGAAAAUAUUGUAUUGAUCAGUUUAAUCUUAACAAUGCCAGGAGGAAUUAUAAGUAGCUCAAGAUUGUUCGGCAAAAUUCUACAGCCUCAUGGGCCACCUCACAAAUUGGUGUGACAGGAGAAAGGCUGAAGGGCUGAAUUAAUGCAUGUGGUAAUUGACCCAGGGAUACACAGAAAGGAGAAGUCAAAGGAGAAGCAUUGCAGUGAUAAACGGGACAAAUCAUCCCAAAGCAUCUCCUGUGUAAGAUGGCAAUGCUUCUUGGACAAUCUCAGGACAUGAAGAGAUGGUCACCAGAGCUUUGUAUGCUUCAACACCCAAGGCCAUCAACACCUGCCGUCUGAUCUUAUUGUAAAAUUAGGAGCAUGUACUGUUAAUAACAUCACAAGUUACAGUAUCUGAGAGUUCACUCCCCAAACCUCAUCCUGUUUCCUCCAACACAAGUUAUCCAUUUAUCUUGGCUGCAGUCUGACUCUCCUGUAGCACAGGUAUCUGUGGUUUUGUUUGUGCUGGGGAGGCAGUGGCAUCUGCAGCUGCUGGAGACUCCUAACACCAAUUCACAUUCCUGCUGCAGACCUGUUGGAGGGGAUUCCUGAACUCUUGCAGAUGGGAACAUUCCAGUCCACAGUACUAUGCUCUGACACCAGCACGUGCUUAUUUUCCCUUGUUGACUUUUUCAGGUACAUUACUGAACCUUCUCUGGAGCUACAGUAAGUUUUUAAAUGGAAAUUGAGGUUUGGAGAUGCUGCACUUUCAGACACAAGAGGAGGGUGAGCUCCUGGAUGGAGAUACCUACAUGAAGCUUCAUCAGUGCUAGUCCUUGGGAGGUUUGAGGAAGAAGACAGCAGAUGGGAGGCUGCAACAUUCAGCUCCUAAGCUGGAGAGUCUCUCUUUCCCUCCGGUGCUAUGAAAUGUGUACAGGAAGCACUGACCAACACACGCAGCCUCACCCCAUCCCAGGAUCUCUGCCGAGUACCCUAGGGAUGGGAUUACAGCGGCAGCUCUGCUGUGGUUCAAAACAAGGAUAAAUUCCUCCUUUAGUUCUGUGGGGCUGUGUGAAAUGAGGCAGGGCUGAGAGCAAUGCAGGGAUGUCUGCUGCAGCCCAAAGCUCCCCCUGCAGCCAGCCAGCCACGUUCCCCAGGCUGCGCCCGGCACACAGAGCUCUGCUCUGCCUCAUCUGCCUCCUCCUCUGUGCCCAGUUCCAAAUCUCUUCAGCAAUAUGUUCUGUAACAAUUAAGGAUUUCUGGGGCAACUCCAUUAAGAUCACAAAGAUAUCCUUCUGCUUUGAAAUAUGUGAGCAUGAAUGAUCCAUUCAGCACAGCACCCCUUGGCCACUCAUAUCUCUCUGAUGAUCAAAUAUAUUUUUAAUUAUCAAUCUAUCUGAGGGGAUUUUUUUUCUCUAGACAAUAUCCAACUGUAUUGUAAGAGCCAUUUGGAUUGAUACAGAGAAUUUGGCAGCAAGAUAGGGAACAUUUGGGCUUUCAACACUUAGGAACAUAUGGAAAGAGGUUUGGAAGAUUGCCACAUGGGAUGUAGCUUGGAAGAUGCUACAUUUCUUCAUCCUUUUUUUUUUUUUUUUUUCUGAACAGAAAUAGAAGAAAUUUUAAUUUCUUUUUGAAGGAUCCCAAUUCCUGUUUAUUUUCUAUGCUUCUGUAGGAUAAACCACUAUGGUCAGCUGCAAGGUUUGAGCAAAAUCAGCUGCAUGUUUAUGGGCAAAUGUAGGUGGGCAAUUAAAAGGAUGGUGAAUUGCAGAUCUUUUCAAGUUUUUACCUCCUAAUCCAUGAGAACCUGCAGAGGAGAACUCACAAAGCUGCAGCCUGUGACUCAGUCAUGGGGUGAAGAUGGGAUCUGGUGCCAGCCUGCCAGGAUGUGCACCGUUCACUGCGGGCUCCAAGGGUAAACCCUGCUGGUGGUUCUUCCUUCACACUCCUGCUGGGACCAUCUGUCUCCCAGUCACCCUGACACCCAGAGACAGACAGUCCAGGCUGUCUGUGUGUCUCUGGUACAGAGUUUCAUCACGUGGCAUCCCAGACACCUUUGGGACAUCAUGGGAAUGGGAGAGAGGAACCUCCUCCAGCUCAGCUCUCAGGACUGCCUGUGUGUGAACCAACAUCACCUUCAUACCACUUCAGGGACAAAUGCCUCAAGCCCAUGAUGGGAGUACUCUGUGUCUCUCAGAGUUAUUGCCUCUGCUUGUCAGAAGAACAAUGCUUUUUUUCUAAUUUUUUAAUUUUUUUUUUGGUGGUUCCUUUGUGUCCCAGGUUGGGGGGCUGCAGCAAAUGCAGAAUUUAUUGGAAUACACAAACAUGUAUUUGCACAAUUAGCCAGUGGUCUCUGCAGCUUAGUAAAUGCUAAUUAAUCUCUCAGACUGCUAGGAAAUCAUCACUAUCCUGGUUCAGCAAUGAGAGACAAAGACCAAAGAGAGUGACAAGGGCUUAUACUGAAUGACAGAGUCAGAGCAGAGAGAAUUGCAGUCUUCUUUGGUGUUCUGAACAGUAAACCACUCAAGUUUGGCAAGCUGCACCUGAAGAGCAGAAUGGAGGCGCCUGGGGAUUCUCCCUCAAUCCCUGCCUCCAAGAGCUCAGCUCAGGGCAGGCUGCAGCUCCCAUCCCACCUGGCUGCUCAGAUUUCCUUUCCUUGAGAAGUGAGAGCAAUGGGCAGCUCUGACUGCAGCAGGGAGCUGGAAACCAGCCUGGCUAUGCAAUCACUUCUGGGAAUGGGAAUCACUCUCAGACCCCCCUGGUUUGGUCAUAGCCUGAGUGUUUGUUGUCCACAAAUUCAUUGCAGCUUUUAUCUCGCAUUUUCCUGUGAGAGUUUGUUUCAACACUUGCAGCCAAAUAAUGACUAGACAGGGCAAGUUCCUGUUAUUUCUUUGCUAAUGGGAUGCCAGGAGUCAUUAAGACAUCUCCAGCUGAGGUGAAGGCUAAGAUGACAUCCAGGAUCAGGAAGAGAGCAUGGAGGGGCUGGUGACAAAAGCAGAGGAAGGAGAAUCUUCUCCAAAGGUAUUCAAAAACCUCUAGCAACAGCUUUUGAGAACUGACCACAUAAGUCAGAAGAGCAAAAAAGAUAGACAAAUCCCUAAAUCAUGGGGAUGGGAUUUGUUUUAGAAUGAAAUCUCUGCCUUUCUGAUUUAAACCUGAAAAAGAUUGUGUGAGCUUCAAGUAUAUUGUUAGCCAUAUAUAAAGCAACUGCACAUUUCUGAAAUUUCAGCUAAAAUUUGAUUCAGAAUGCUUUAAUAUUUUGCUCCUUCUCACAGAGUACACCUUGAUGGACAUUAGUCUUUUCCAAGUUCUGCUGUUCUGAGGAUGCACUUCUGGUGUCAAUUUGGAAAUCUUUUGACUAUAACACAGUUACAUAAUUUACUUAGAAAGAUUAAGGAGCAUUAAAACUAUAGGAACCAACCUUUCCUAGAACUCCAUCCAGUUACAUGCUUCUAUGCAUCUCCAUUCCCAUUUCUACUGAUAUAAAAGGAGAAAAAGGACUCUCCUAUCAGCCUGCUCCUGCUGUCUGAUUAGCUGGCAGCUAUCACAGCUCUUCUUUUGCUCUGUUACAGUUUCAUUUCCAGAGGAAAAAGCCCUGAUGGAUAUUGAGCCUCAGGAUUGUGGCACCACUGCAAAUUAAAUGAGGUUUCUGUUUAUACCAAAGGGACGGCAGUGCCUCCUUAAUCAGGCUGUCUGUUCUUUGGAAGUCAGUAGAUAUUUUGCCUAAAAGCACCCAGCAGUGCAGUGUAACUCAGUAAUAACUGUUUAUUGGGGCUCAGGAGGAAACCCCAGAAGAAAAACUGUAGUUAGAAUCUGUAAAAAAUUCCAAAAUCUGUAGUUAGAAGCACUGGUGAGUGGUUGACUUAGGGGAGUUUCUUUUGCUUUUUGUUUUAAGAUUGCCUGAACUUGAUGGAGGCUCUUUCAUUUAAAAGACAGAGAGACCUACAAAUUAGGCAACAUCUAGCUCCUAAUGUGUGAAACUGCAAUUUGCAUACAUCAUGGCAGCUGCUGAGUUGGUCCUUAUUACCUCUGCUGGAGUGUUAAUUUAACCACAACUUUAUCAUUAAUUUAAAUGGAAAAGCAGCGGGUUGCUGGCAUGCCACAUUAUCUGUCAGGCAACCUGGGAAUCAGCUGACAGAGCCAGAAAGAGAUUUCAAUUCAGAGGGGCUGCAGGAUGCUGCCUCCCAGACUUGUGGUCACAGACAAGCUCCAGAUUGCCCUUGGCCUGCUCUAAAGGUCAACACCAACCCCAAGGAAAAAAAACCAAAUCAGUAUCAUAUCUGGACUGUCAUAAGAGAAUAAAUAAUACAAUCAAACUUGAAAUCUCUGUAUUUCUGGGUUUUUUUGUCCCUAUGCACCCAAACUGGCACUGUUUGUACAGAUAUGAUAACCAAAACAUCAUUGCUGGUUCUGACAACAAAAGGUUUGUAGAGCAAUCCUUGCAAUGGGAUCCAAACCCACCCUGAGGGCUGCAGGACCAAGCAGGAGGUGCCAAAGCUGCCCAGGCAGGAAAUGCCAAAGCUGCCCAAGCAGGAGGUGCCAAAGCUGCCCAGGCAGGAGGUGCCAAAGCUGCCCAAGCAGGAGGUGCAGGGAGCAGCUGUGCCAUGAACGGUGCCAGGGCCAUCAGCCGGUGCCUGGAGGCUCCUCCACACUCAGUUGAUGCCACAUGGAGGAACAAAAACAUGAGAACCACUCGUGUGGGAAGUAAAGCAAACAUGAGGUACCAGUUGCCAAACCAGAGGCUGCCUCACUCUCCAGGAAAAGAGGCUGAGGAGCCCCGAGACACUGCUGGGAUGGGAGAUGAGAGGAGCAGGGUCCAUGCUGGAGAGCCACCCAUGGGCAUGGAGUCACCAAGCAUGAGGGUCUCCUCUCCCAAGCCAUGAUGAUGUGCCACCAUUUAGUGGCACAAUUGUGUAUUUUUCAAUGGAGAAUGAGGUUCAGCUCUGAACCAUGGCAAGAGUGACAGAGGAGAUGAGCUCAGCUCAGAGCCUCGGUUGUGAUGUUUCAGUGGCAGAAAAGAGAAACCAUGUCCUGAUGCCUGCCAGAGAUUAACUGAGCUGAUGGAGGUCUCCUCUGAACUGACUGUGACUCAUGGUCCUGCUCCUGGCAAACCAGAGCAAAGCUUCAUCUGUGGACACUUUGUGUGCACUCACCCACCAGAACAGGUGUCCUGCUUUCAGGUGAAGUGUGAACCUUGUGUAGCUGUUCCCAAACUCUGUAUUGUGAUAAAGACAUGCUUGGAAACUGAUCAGACUUUCUCCUAAAAAAAAAAAAAAGGGCUAUUUUCCCAAUAAGUGAAUCACUAAGAGUUGAGAUUUAGAAAGGAAUGUCUCUGCUUGUGCAGCACCAGCAUAUAGUGUAUGACUGAUGUUAUGCAGGCACUGUUCUAAAACAUUAAAUUCAACACAUAUUUCCUAAACACAGAUAAAUUUGCAUUAAAUGUGCCUUUUCUGUCUCUGAUGCCUAGUCCUGCUCGUUGUUUUAAAAUACACUGUGCUAAAAGACCACACAUUUAUUGAAUUAUCACAGAUACUCUUCCCUUGGUAUUAGCUUAACAAAGUUCAGGAAAAACUUGUCUUCGCCCACAUCUCAGCCAUUCAUUUUUAUAACAAAAAUCACCAUGACAACAGAUAAUGAUAUCAGAGUGAAAAGAUUAUUACUUAAUUACAUGAAGAAGGUGAAAACAGGCUUGGCUUAGAGCAGAAAAAGCUUUUAAUUUCAGCAAAAAUAUGGGGGCACACACUCAAUUUGUGACAUCAUGAAGUGCUGCUGAGAUCUGCCCAGGGGCUGCUCUACUGCAUGAUGGGGUGUCCCAGUUAAUUCAGUGAAGUGCAAGAGAAAUACUUGAAUUUCAUGAGCAAUAAAGAGAAAUUUUCCUUAAAA